rnacentral:rRNA from 1 species
UUCCGUAGGUGAACCUGCGGAGGGAUCAUUACACAAAUAUGAAGGCGGGCUGGAACCUCUCGGGGUUACAGCCUUGCUGAAUUAUUCACCCUUGUCUUUUGCGUACUUCUUGUUUCCUUGGUGGGUUCGCCCACCACUAGGACAAACAUAAACCUUUUGUAAUUGCAAUCAGCGUCAGUAACAAAUUAAUAAUUACAACUUUCAACAACGGAUCUCUUGGUUCUGGCAUCGAUGAAGAACGCAGCGAAAUGCGAUAAGUAGUGUGAAUUGCAGAAUUCAGUGAAUCAUCGAAUCUUUGAACGCACAUUGCGCCCUUUGGUAUUCCAAAGGGCAUGCCUGUUCGAGCGUCAUUUGUACCCUCAAGCUUUGCUUGGUGUUGGGCGUCUUGUCUCUAGCUUUGCUGGAGACUCGCCUUAAAGUAAUUGGCAGCCGGCCUACUGGUUUCGGAGCGCAGCACAAGUCGCACUCUCUAUCAGCAAAGGUCUAGCAUCCAUUAAGCCUUUUUUUCAACUUUUGACCUCGGAUCAGGUAGGGAUACCCGCUGAACUUAAGCAUAUCAAUAAGCG